rnacentral:rRNA from 1 species
GAUGAACGCUGGCGGCGUGCCUAAUACAUGCAAGUCGAGCGAACAGACGAGGAGCUUGCUCCUCUGACGUUAGCGGCGGACGGGUGAGUAAAACGUGGAUAACCUACCUAUAAGACUGGGAUAACUUCGGGAAACCGGAGCUAAUACCGGAUAAUAUAUUGAACCGCAUGGUUCAAUAGUGAAAGACGGUUUUGCUGUCACUUAUAGAUUGAUCCGCGCCGCAUUAGCUAGUUGGUAAGGUAACGGCUUACCAAGGCAACGAUGCGUAGCCGACCUGAGAGGGUGAUCGGCCACACUGGAACUGAGACACGGUCCAGACUCCUACGGGAGGCAGCAGUAGGGAAUCUUCCGCAAUGGGCGAAAGCUUGACGGAGCAACGCCGCGUGAGUGAUGAAGGUCUUCGGAUCGUAAAACUCUGUUAUUAGGGAAGAACAAAUGUGUAAGUAACUAUGCACGUCUUGACGGUACCUAAUCAGAAAGCCACGGCUAACUACGUG